UGUCUCAUGUCUGUAAUCCCAGCACUUUGGGAGGCUGAGGCAGGUGGAUCACGAGGUCAAGAGAUCGAGACCAUCCUGGUCAACAAGCAUCCGGGCGACUUCUGCUUCUCUUUUGCCAAAACUGGGUCCAUGCCAUUCCAAACCAACAAGAAGCAGACUGCGUCAUCGGUGUGGACAGGUCCAGAUUCUAGCUCUUGGGUGAGCAUGUGGCUGUCCAAACCCAAGCAGGGGGAAGUUAGCAAGAAAGGGAGGCUGGGGGAGGACCUCGGGCUGGGGGAGGACCUCGGGCUGGGGGAGGACCAUAGGCUGGGGAAGGACCUUGGGCUGGGGGAGGACUGCGGGCUGGGGGAGGACCGCAGGCAGGAUAGAAUCUGCACAGCUGCAUGGAUUCCCAAGAGGUCGGGUCCCAUCCAUGAAGCUCUGUGGAUAAAAGGGAGAAGGGCAGGCAUCUGGGAAGCCUUCACGCCCUUCUGCAGGAGCAGAGCGGUGGGGCUGAGCAGGCUUCCCCUUCCUUGAACAGUGGUACUGCUCUGUGAGGCCGCAUCCUUCUCUAACAUGGGAGGGUAGAAUGGUUUUUCAGGGUGGGACCCUGCCAGCUCUCAAGAGGUAGCCCAAGACUGGGCACACUAUGAUCUCCACAACACACAGAGCUGCAAGUAUUGGAGUCCCCAGCCAAGAGGCAAAUCGACUGACUCACGGACCUCAUACUUCUCAGGGCAGCUUUCAUGACAGCUGGAUUCAGGGGCUCUCUUCCUUCUUCCAAGUCUUCACCCCUCAGCACUGCUCCCCUUCUUAAGCUGCCACUGGGCCCUUGUGCCGCAGAUGGGUAUCUUCACCUGGAGGGAGAAACGGCUGAGGCAGCCCAAAGUCUGUCCUUACAGACUGUGACCUAAACAGGAGAGGAAGCUUUCUUCCCCUCCACCUCCCAAGAAGGACUCUGAAGGAAUUGGUUUGGGCCACGUCAGUACCGCUUGGACUGACUAGGGUCAUGUGCCAAGCCCUGUGAGCACCUGCACCAUGGUCAUGGCCGAAUUCCUCAGGUAUUGAGCGCCAUCUUCAUGCUGUGGGGGCUGGGGACGGAGUGGUGAGCAGCUCAGGCGGGAAGAGGCAGCAUCGCCCACCAGCAGAGUCCAGCCCAGCCCCGUGGGAGGCACAGCAGCAUCAGCAGUCUCUGAGGAUUUCCAGGUGACCGCAGUCGAAGGGGAAAUGAGGCAGGAUGGUGACUGAAAUGUUAGGAAGGGGAUGUGGGCAGGCUUCGCUGGGGGAAGGGCAGCUGGAAAUAAACAGCAUGAGAUGUGGGGGAAAGAGGUCCUU
rnacentral:lncRNA from 13 species